AACGAACGCUGGCGGCAGGCCUAACACAUGCAAGUCGAACGCUCGUAGCAAUACGGGAGUGGCAGACGGGUGCGUAACGCGUGGGAACAUACCCUUUGGUUCGGAAUAACUCAGGGAAACUUGAGCUAAUACCGGAUACGCCCGAGAGGGGAAAGAUUUAUUGCCGAAGGAUUGGCCCGCGUCUGAUUAGCUAGUUGGUAGGGUAACGGCCUACCAAGGCGACGAUCAGUAGCUGGUCUGAGAGGAUGAUCAGCCACACUGGGACUGAGACACGGCCCAGACUCCUACGGGAGGCAGCAGUGGGGAAUAUUGGACAAUGGGCGCAAGCCUGAUCCAGCCAUGCCGCGUGAGUGAUGACGGCCUUAGGGUUGUAAAGCUCUUUUACCUGGGAAGAUAAUGACGGUACAGGAGAAUAAGCCCCGGCUAACUUCGUGCCAGCAGCCGCGGUAAU
rnacentral:rRNA from 1 species